rnacentral:rRNA from 1 species
GAUGAACGCUAGCGGCAGGCCUAAUACAUGCAAGACGAACGGUAAGUUGAGUAGCAAUACUUAGCCAAGAGUGUCGUACGGGUGCGUAACACGUAUGCAACCUACCCUAUACAGGAGGAUAGCCUAGGGAAACCUGGAUUAACCCUUCAUAGUAUUAUUGGAUGGCAUCAUUUGAUAAUUAAAACUGAGGUGGUAUAGGAUGGGCAUGCGUCUGAUUAGUUAGUUGGCGGGUAAUGGCCCACCAAGACGAUGAUCAGUAGGGGUUCUGAGAGGAAGAUCCCCCACACUGGCACUGAGAUACGGGCCAGACUCCUACGGGAGGCAGCAGUAGGGAAUAUUGGUCAAUGGAUGCAAGUCUGAACCAGCCAUGCCGCGUGCAGGAAGAAGGCCUUCUGGGGUUGUAAACUGCUUUUGCCAGGGGGAUAAAAUUUCCAUGCGUGGAAAACUGAAGGUACCUGGUGAAUAAGCCACGGCUAACUACGUGCCAGCAGCCGCGGUAAU